rnacentral:rRNA from 1 species
CAGCCGCCGCGGGAAUACGAAGGGGGCUAGCGUUGUUCGGAAUUACUGGGCGUAAAGGGCGCGUAGGCGGAUUGUUUAGUUAGGCGUGAAAUUCCUGGCUUAACCUGGGGACCGCGCUUAAUACAGGCAGUCUAGAGUGAGGAAGAGGGUUGUGGAAUUCCCAGUGUAGAGGUGAAAUUCGUAGAUAUUGGGAAGAACACCGGUGGCGAAGGCGGCAACCUGGUCCUUGACUGACGCUGAGGCGCGAAAGCGUGGGGAGCAAACAGGAUUAGAUACCCGAGUAGUCCCUGUCUCUUAUACA